AACGAACGCUGGCGGCGUGCCUAACACAUGCAAGUCGAGCGCGAAAGUUCCUUCGGGAAUGAGUAAAGCGGCGGACGGGUGAGUAAUACGUGGGUAAUCUGCCCCCGAGCUCGGGAUAACACUGCGAAAGCGGUGCUAAUACCGGAUAAGACCACAUGACACAUGUCGUGCAGUAAAAGGUGGCUUUAUUUUCGGAUGAGGCUAUCACUUGAGGAAGAGCCCAUGGCCUAUCAGCUUGUUGGUGAGGUAAAAGCUCACCAAGGCGAUGACGGGUAGCUGGUCUAAGAGGACGACCAGCCAAACUGGACUGAGACACGGCCCAGACUCCUACGGGAGGCAGCAGCGGGGAAUAUUGGGCAAUGGGCGAAAGCCUGACCCAGCGACGCCGUGUGGGCGAUGAAGGCCUUCGGGUUGUAAAGCCCUGUGAGGUGGGAAGAAGGGCCCAGAGGUUAAUACCCUUUGGGCUUUGACGGUACCACCAGAGGAAGCACCGGCUAACUCCGUGCCAGCAGCCGCAGUAACAC
rnacentral:rRNA from 1 species